GAGCUGUGCCACUGGGGCCCUGAUAGGAUCUGUGUUCUCAGGGAUGGCCGGGAGGUACCUGAAGGGACAGCUGGUAGAGCUGCAGAUCGUCAUUGAUGUUAUUGAAAGCAUGACUCAUGACAGCGCUGCCAUCAGAAGCCUGGCAAUUCAAACCCAGAAAAUCCUAGGAUCUGUUCAGAGACCUCAGUCUUCUCCAGGUUCCAGCAGCUUGGAGAUCAGGUCCAGAAUGUGCAGAAUAGGAAGGCUCCUCUGUGGUGCAGCUGCCAGAGGUCAGUGGAGAACUGAUCUUGGGAACCCUGUCUGAUGGGACCACCUGAGCCUGCAGGAAAGACCCUUCUCAUCCUGUUACCCCAGCUUGAGAAUAUGAAAUUCCUCUUAGCAUACA